rnacentral:rRNA from 1 species
GAUGAACGCUGGCGGCGUGCCUAAUACAUGCAAGUCGAGCGAACAGACGAGGAGCUUGCUCCUCUGACGUUAGCGGCGGACGGGUGAGUAACACGUGGAUAACCUACCUAUAAGACUGGGAUAACUUCGGGAAACCGGAGCUACUACCGGAUCAUAUAUUGAACCGCAUGGUUCAAUAGUGAAAGACGGUUUUGCUGUCACUUAUAGCUGGAUCCGCGCCGCGUUAGCUAGUUGGUAAGGUAACGGCUUACCAAGGCAACGAUGCGUAGCCGACCUGAGAGGGUGAUCGGCCACACUGGAACUGAGACACGGUCCAGACUCCUACGGGAGGCAGCAGUAGGGAAUCUUCCGCAAUGGGCGAAAGCUUGACGGAGCAACGCCGCGUGAGUGAUGAAGGUCUUCGGAUCGUAAAACUCUGUUAUUAGGGAAGAACAAAUGUGUAAGUAACUAUGCACGUCUUGACGGUACCUAAUCAGAAAGCCACGGCUAACUACGUG